ACGCGCGGCGUGCUAUACCUGCAAGUCGAGCGGACAGAAGGGAGCUUGCUCCCGGAUGUAGCGGCGGACGGGUGAGUAACACGUGGGUAACUGCCUGUAAGACUGGGAUAACUCCGGGAAACGGGAGCUAAUACCGGAUAGUUCCCUGAACCGCAUGGUUCAAGGUGAAAGACGGUUUCGGCUGUCACUUACAGAUGGACCGCGGCGCAUAGCUAGUUGGUGGGGUAAUGGCUCACCAAGGCGACGAUGCGUAGCCGACCUGAGAGGGUGAUCGGCCACACUGGGACUGAGACACGGCCCAGACUCCUACGGGAGGCAGCAGUAGGGAAUCUUCCGCAAUGGACGAAAGUCUGACGGAGCAACGCCGCGUGAGUGAUGAAGGUUUUCGGAUCGUAAAGCUCUGUUGUUAGGGAAGAACAAGUGCGAGAGUAACUGCUCGCACCUUGACGGUACCUAACCAGAAAGCCACGGCUAACUACGUGCCAGCAGCCGCGGUAAUACGUAGGUGGCAGCGUUGUCCGGAAUUAUUGGGCGUAAAGGGCUCGCAGGCGGUUUCUUAAGUCUGAUGUGAAAGCCCCCGGCUCAACCGGGGAGGGUCAUUGGAAACUGGGAAACUUGAGUGCAGAAGAGGAGAGUGGAAUUCCACGUGUAGCGGUGAAAUGCGUAGAGAUGUGGAGGAACACCAGUGGCGAAGGCGACUCUCUGGUCUGUAACUGACGCUGAGGAGCGAAAGCGUGGGGAGCGAACAGGAUUAGAUACCCUGGUAGUCCACGCCGUAAACGAUGAGUGCUAAGUGUUAGGGGGUUUCCGCCCCUUAGUGCUGCAGCUAACGCAUUAAGCACUCCGCCUGGGGAGUACGGUCGCAAGACUGAAACUCAAAGGAAUUGACGGGGGCCCGCACAAGCGGUGGAGCAUGUGGUUUAAUUCGAAGCAACGCGAAGAACCUUACCAGGUCUUGACAUCCUCUGACAACCCUAGAGAUAGGGCUUUCCCUUCGGGGACAGAGUGACAG
rnacentral:rRNA from 1 species